ACACGACUACAUUAGAUACCCCGGUAGUCCUAGCCGUAAACGAUGCUCGCUAGGUGUCGGCCACGGUGCGACCGUUGUCGGUGCCGUAGGGAAGCCGUGAAGCGAGCCACCUGGGAAGUACGGCCGCAAGGCUGAAACUUAAAGGAAUUGGCGGGGGAGCACCACAACGGGUGGAGCUUGCGGUUUAAUUGGAUUCAACGCCGGAAAUCUUACCGGGACCGACAGCAACAUGAAGGCCAGGCUGAAGACUUUGCCGGAUUAGCUG
rnacentral:rRNA from 1 species